GACCCCUCCACUGUGAGGGUGAAAAGGUGUGGAGUCUCCUUGAUGUAUGCCCAAGAUUUUGAAAAAUUAGUUAGAGGCAUUGAUGAAGAUGAUGUAGUUAUGGAACCAAAACAAGUAGUUGAAGAAGAAGAUAUCAUCAUCAAAACUAAGAGACGACGCGACCAAUCUGAACCCGGUGGAAGCAGAACUGCAAUCUUGAAAGAAGAAGAUGACGGCGAACUACCUCCCCAGAGUAGUAAAAGGAAAAUCAACAUCAUGUGAAAUAUUCACGUUCAUAAUGCCACUUUAUGAGUCACAAGCUACAGCCUUGAGAUCGUUGGAAGGAAUCAAACCCGACUCACUGGGAAGGUGUUUGACGUAACACCUGAGAUAACGGAGUAAAGGAGAAAUAAGAUUGAUGAGGCCAGCUGUAAAGUCUGACUCUGGUUCUGCUGCAACUGUGACAAGGGUGCAAACUUAAUGCCAUUGAAGUACACUGGGAUCAAAUUUCCAAGCACCAAACAAUCCUGGUUUAACACAAGUAUGAACCUCAAGGAAUGUGAGAUGUUGUGUGUGAAGAAGCGCUCCUGGACAGCUUAUGCAAAUUCCAAUAUCAGAGAAGGAGGAAGUGGGUGCUUGCUGUGGUUCAGUGAUCUAAUUGGCAUAAGAAAUCUCACUGAAAAUGAGCAAGAUAUCUAUGUUAGCUGUAUCAGAGCAAGCAGGAAAACUGAGCCGCAGCCACAAGGAAAAUCUGGAAUUACUUGACUUGACUACUGUUGUUAAUGAAACCUGUAACUUCUCAAACGACAACAAACUAGGAGAAGGUGGCUUGGGAUCUGUCUUUAAGGUGUAUGUUGAAAGAUGGAUGAGAAAUAGCAGUGGAAAGGCUUGCAAGAGACUCUAUGUAAGGAAUUAAUGAGUUCAAAAAUGAGGCUGUACACAUAUUGCCAAACUUCAGCACAAGAAUCUAGUGAAGCUUCUAGGGUGCUGCUUUCAACAAGAUGAAAUGAUGCUGAUGUACAAAUGCAUGCCAGACAAAAGCUUGGACUUCUUUAUUUUCAGUUUUAUCACCGAGGAAGUUUAUAUUUGGUUUUAUUGGUCCAUAUGGUUACAUGUCCCCAGAAUACACAAUUGAUGGUUUCUACUCGAUAAAAUCUGAUGUCUACAACUAUGGAGUUUUGGUGCUAGAGAUAGUGAGUGGGAAGAGAAACUGAGGAUUCUCACAUCCAUGCCACAAUCUCAACCUUUUUGGACAUGUGAGCUGUUCAUAGAAGGCAGGUCCAUUGAACUUCUUGAUCCAUUGGUAGAGGACACCAGCACUCUACAUGAAGUUGUGAGAUCGAUUCAUGUAGGGGUCUUUUAUGCAUGUGUGCAACAAAAUCCACAAGAUAGGCCAAGUAUGCCAGCUGCUGUUCUAAUAUUGAGUGGUGAAGGUGCAUUGCCUCAACCUCAGAAGCCUGGUUUUUUUAGUGAAAGGAAUCUGACAGAACUUGAAGAUUCUACAGAUGAGGCUACAGAAUGUUCAGCUAAUGAACUCACUGUUACACCAGUGGGGGCUCGAUGAAUGUUGAGUCUCAUGUUGAGUAUUCUCUGCCCUUUAUCCGCUUGCUUUCCUCUGAUAUGAGUUGGGUUCAUUUGAAUGAUGAGUUACAAACACAAACUUUUGAUAUCACUUUAGGCCUAGUUAAUUAUCUUCUCAUUGGUACCAAGUUGAGUCUGAACUAACCACUGGGUUGAACCAGCCAACUCUUAU